GCCAUCAUUCAGUUGGGCACUCUAGCGAGACUGCCGGUAAUAAACCGGAGGAAGGUGGGAUGACGUCAAAUCAUCAUGCCCUUAUGACCUGGGCUACACACGUGCUACAAUGGUUGGUACAACGAGUUGCGAGUCGGUGACGGCGAGCUAAUCUCUUAAAGCCAAUCUCAGUUCGGAUUGUAGGCUGCAACUCGCCUACAUGAAGUCGGAAUCGCUAGUAAUCGCGGAUCAGCACGCCGCGGUGAAUACGCUCCCGGGUCCGUU
rnacentral:rRNA from 1 species